rnacentral:rRNA from 1 species
UACGUAGGAUGCAAGCGUUGUCCGGAUUUAUUGGGUUUAAAGGGUUCGUAGGCGGCCUAUUAAGUUAGUGGUGAAAACGUUCGGCUUAACCGGAUACCCGCCAUUGAUACUGAUAGACUUGAGUGCGACAGAGGGUGUUGGAAUGUGUGGUGUAGCGGUGAAAUGCUUAGAUAUCACGCAGAACACCAAUUGCGAAGGCAGAUGCCUAUGUCGUAACUGACGCUGAGGCACGAAAGCGUGGGUAGCGAACAGG